rnacentral:rRNA from 1 species
GAUGAACGCUAGCGGCAGGCUUAAUACAUGCAAGUCGUACGGGAUCCGAGGUAGCAAUACUUUGGUGAGAGUGGCGCACGGGUGCGUAACACGUAUGCAACCUACCUAUAACCGGGACACAACCCACCGAAAGGUGAGCUAAUAUCCCAUAACACUGCGAGAUGGCAUCAUUUUGCAGUUAAAACUCCGGUGGUUACAGAUGGGCAUGCGCGACAUUAGCUAGUUGGUGAGGUAAUGGCCCACCAAGGCUACGAUGUCUAGGGGUUCUGAGAGGAUUACUCCCCCA